UACGGGGGGAGCGAACGUUGUUCGGAAUCACUGGGCGUAAAGGGCGUGUAGGCGGUUCGGUAAGUGGAAUGUGAAAUCCCCCGGCUUACCCGGGGAACUGCAUCCCAUACUGCUGGACUUGAGUGCGGGAGAGGAUGGAGGAAUUCCUGGUGUAGCGGUGAAAUGCGUAGAUAUCAGGAGGAACACCUGUGGCGAAGGCGGCAUCCUGGACCGGCAUUGACGCUGAUGCGCGAAAGCCGGUAGGGAGCGAACGGG
rnacentral:rRNA from 1 species